AUCUAUGGCCAUACCACCCUGAACACGUCCGAUCUUGUCUGAUCUCGGAAGCUAAGCAGGGUCGGGCCUGGUUAGUACUUGGAAGGGAGAAUUGCUUUUCUCCACAUCCAUAUCAGAAUUUGCUAUUUUUU
rnacentral:rRNA from 1 species